rnacentral:rRNA from 1 species
GGACUACCGGGGUAUCUAAUCCGCUUUGCUCCCCACGCUUUCAUGCCUCAACGUCAGUAGCAGAAUAGUUAACUGCCUUCGCUAUAUUGGUGUUCUUUUAUAUAUCUACGCAUUUUACCGCUCCACAUAAAGUUCCGUUAACCUCUCCUGCACUCAAGUUCGACAGUAUUACCAACUUCCACGAGGUUGGGCCUCGAUUUACCACCAGUAACUUAUCGAACCGUCUACGCAUCCUUUACGCCCAAUAAUUCCGGAUAACGUUUGCCACCUAUGUCUUACCGCGGCUGCUGGCAC